GCGAAAGUGGCGGAAUGGUAGACGCGCUGGUCUUAGGAACCAGUGGCUCAGGCCGUGGGGGUUCGAAUCCCCCCUUUCGCACCU
rnacentral:tRNA from 1 species